rnacentral:lncRNA from 1 species
CUUCUUCUGUUUCUUGCUGUCACCCAGGUUCUCUCACUAUAUCCAUCCUUUAACACACUGAUCUCACUUCACUUCCUUCUCUCCCUGUGCUCGUUUCUUCCCUCUCCAUCAUUCCCCCGAGUCUGACCAGGAUCCCCAACUCCCAUGACGUAUGGCCGUCUAUCUGGCUAAACCCUACUCCAGAGCAAUCCUUUCCUGGGUCUGUCGAGCAUUAUCAGAGUAAAUUCACACAACACAGCCACGCUUUCCAGCU